GCCCACGUAGCUCAGGCGGCAGAGCAUCUCCUUGGUAAGGAGAAGGUCCCCGGUUCGAAUCCGGGCGUGGGCUCCA
rnacentral:tRNA from 1 species